GUCCUUCAAACCCAGACCCCACAGCCCUGUCCUUCCCAAACCCAGACCCCACAGCCCUGUCCUUCAAACCCAGUGCAUUGGGAGCAUCUCCCAUGGGAUGAUGUAAUUUUAUCAGUCAUGCCCUGGGACUCAGUGGCCAUGAACAGGAGAUAUGAGGAUGGGCUGUGGGAAGAUAAAGAUCCUGUCCCAGCUGGGUUAAAGGUUAAAGGUGGGGAGAAGCACACAGCCCUGGGCACACCCUGCAUUACACCCCAGGACAAAGGGUUUGCCCCAGGUCCUGGCGUGGCCACAAACCCCUGAGCUGUGCUGGUGCUGCCUGGAGCACUGGGAUGGAGGAGGUGUCUGCAGCAGACCUGGUGUCCAUCUGAGGGAAAGAACCCCCCUCUCCCCUCACUCCUGGAGCACUGAGGAAUUUCUCUGGGCUCAGGAGCCGUGCCAAGCUUGGGGAACAGGGCUGAGAGGGUUUGGAGAGGGACUGGGGACCAGGAUGGAGGGACAGGAGCCAGGGAAUGGCUCCCACUGCCAGAGGGCAGGGCUGGCUGGGAUCCUGGGCAGCAAUUGUUCCCUGGCAGGGUGGGCAGGGCUGGCACAGGGUGCCCAGAGCAGCUGUGGCUGCCCCUGGAUCCCUGGCAGUGCCCAGGGCCAGGCUGGACACUGGGGCUGGAGCAAUGGGGGCUGGAGCAGUGGGACAGUGGGAGGUGUCCCUGCCGUGUCACUGGAUGUUUUUUAAGGUCCCUUCCCACCUAAACCAGUCUGGGAUUUGACUGGGGAUGGGGUCCCUUGGUCCCCAGGGGCUCUCCUGCUCCCACUGCCACCGUGGGCUGGAACAGCAGAGAGCCUGGAUGGAUCACUCCUGCUCUGUAGCAUCAGAGGUGUUUCCAGAGGAUGGAUUCAGUCACACAGAGGUGUUUCCAGAGGGAUGGAUUCAGUCACAGAGGUUUCCAGAGGGAUGGAUUCAGUCACAGAGGUUUCCAGAGGAUGGAUUUAUUCCUGCACACAGAGGUGUUUCCAGCCUGGCAGAGCUGUCAGGGCCCUGUGGUUUCUGCAGCCUGGGGAGCAGCCAGGAGGCAGCUCAGCCUCUGCUCCAUUCAUGCCUUCCCUGAAUCACAUUCCUGUGCCCUUAGUCACCCUUUGGUUGGCUCAGCUACAAACAGGCUGCAGUUUGUUCCCUUUCCUGCCUCCCCAGCCCUGCCUUUGCUGGGAGUCCCAGCUCUGCAGCUCCAGGCACGGGCUCUGCCUGCCUGGGCAGGGAAAUGCCCUCAGGAGGGGCUUCCAAGCCCUCGGCAGGGUGGGCUCCAUUUCCAGCAGGUGCCCGUCAGGGGCUCCUGGGAAUGGUUCCAUUCCCCCUCUGCAGGUUUCUGGUUUGUAUUUCUUGUUUCGAGGCGUUGUUUGUGCAGCGGGGAUGGGAAGUGGGGAGGUGUGAGAGCAUUCCCACCAGGAUGUGCAGCUCCUGGGGGUUUGUUGGGGCUGCCUCUAAGGUUUGGUGAUGGGCCACGGGCUCAGAGGCUGCAGGAGCCCCGAGGGCUCGGCUGGGGACAGGGAUGGAGGGACAGGACACAGGGAUGGAGGGACAGGACACGGGGAUGGAGGGACAGGACGGGGGGGGGGGGGGGGGGGGGGGGGGGGGGGGGGGGGGGGGGGGGGGGGGGGGGGGGGGGGGGGGGGGG
ensembl:lncRNA